rnacentral:tRNA from 1 species
GCGCCAAUAGUGUAGCGGUAUCAUUGUACCCUCCCAAGUUACAGACCCCGGUUCGACUCCGGUUGGUGCA